rnacentral:tRNA from 1 species
ACCUGGUUGUGGCUCAAUAGGUAGAGCAUGAGACUCUUAAUCUCAAGAUUGUGGGUUCGAGCCCCACGUUGGGCG